GAGAAGUGGUGACUCAUACAUGAACAGAAAGAAUCAUAAUAUCUUACUUAUGUUUUUUUGUUAUGCAAAUGGUUAACUUAUAGUUAUAUUUUGAUUGAUAUUACUUAGUGAUAAUUAUUAAAAUUUAAAAUUUGAAAUGAUUAUAACUUGAAAUUAUAAAUUAAUUAAACAUUAAUUUUUGGGCUUGAAUAAUGAAUUAUAA
rnacentral:lncRNA from 1 species